rnacentral:misc_RNA from 1 species
GUUCACUUCACUGCUCAUCGGCAUCUGUGAAAAAAGAACACAAUACUCUGUUAACCGAAAUUUUAAAUGUUCUUAACAUGUUUCUAUAAAAAUUAUUCUCAACAGGGAUUAAAAAAAAAAUUGUCAUAAUAUAUAAUAAAAUUAGAUUUGGUAAUGAGGAGAGGAGGAGUAUAAUAAACAACAGAAUUAAACAAACUAGGAUGCGAUUGAGAAAAGAAAAGAGGAGGAUCCAGCAGCUAACUUACAUCUUAAUUUGAAGCAUAG